GUGGGGAAUCUUAGACAAUGGGGGAAACCCUGAUCUAGCCAUGCCGCGUGAGCGAUGAAGGCCUUAGGGUUGUAAAGCUCUUUCAGCUGGGAAGAUAAUGACUGUACCAGCAGAAGAAGCCCCGGCUAACUCCGUGCCAGCAGCCGCGGUAAUACGGAGGGGGCUAGCAUUGUUCGGAAUUACUGGGCGUAAAGCGCACGUAGGCGGACCGGAAAGUCAGAGGUGAAAUCCCAGGGCUCAACCUUGGAACUGCCUUUGAAACUCCUGGUCUUGAGGUCGAGAGAGGUGAGUGGAAUUCCGAGUGUAGAGGUGAAAUUCGUAGAUAUUCGGAGGAACACCAGUGGCGAAGGCGGCUCACUGGCUCGAUACUGACGCUGAGGUGCGAAAGCGUGGGGAGCAAACAGGAUUAGAAACCCUAGUAGUCC
rnacentral:rRNA from 1 species